CAGUCGCCGCGGUAAUACAGAGGGUGCAAGCGUUAAUCGGAAUUACUGGGCGUAAAGCGCGCGUAGGUGGUUUGUUAAGUUGGAUGUGAAAGCCCCGGGCUCAACCUGGGAACUGCAUCCAAAACUGGCAAGCUAGAGUACGGUAGAGGGUGGUGGAAUUUCCUGUGUAGCGGUGAAAUGCGUAGAUAUAGGAAGGAACACCAGUGGCGAAGGCGACCACCUGGACUGAUACUGACACUGAGGUGCGAAAGCGUGGGGAGCAAACAGGAUUAGAUACCCCCGUAGUCCCUGUCUCUUAUAC
rnacentral:rRNA from 1 species